rnacentral:lncRNA from 1 species
ACACAUAACCACUCUUUAGUUAGUAAAAGUGUGCAAAGCAUAACAAUCUAGUUUAGAAAUAAUGUAUCACUCUUUAUUUUGAAAGGAUAGAUGUUAACAUUUUCCAAGGAACCACUAGAGGUCACUGUAGUACCACAUCCAGCCACACUUUCUCACAUACAGUUACACACUCUCAUUACAGUAAGUCACCAUAGGUGGCUGUGGGGCAGGCUUCCUGUAGCCUGAAUAUAACGAUCUAUAAAAAUAGUCUCUCUUGGUAGGGGUAAAUAUUAUAUUAAUAUUGCUAAAUUUCAGAGUCAAUAUUUCUGAAUAAUGAUUUAUAUUUAUUUAAAGGGCGCUCAAACAUAGCAUGAUCUACCCUACACAUGCAUAAACAUAUGAAUAAACAAAAAAACUAGACAAGAGGCUCAAAGGAAAAAAACGUCAUUAAGACCCAUGAAAGGUUUUAGCUUUUAGAUCCAGAAGCGGAAACCACUGUCUCGGAAACCUCUCAUAGUCGCCAUCUUCUUUGGUCACAUUUGGUCACAUUUCACAAGUUCUAAUCCACAGAACCUCAAACCUUUUACUGCUCCAAUACUGCUGGCAUUGUGCGCUUACUCACCUGUGAUUGCAAUUUGUGGGGAAAACCUUCCAACAGUUCAAAAAAAAAAAAUUAAGGAACAUGUUCGGUCUCCACUAAAGGCCAUCUCCAGGAACUCAAAGGAACCCUCCACAGGGGACUCAAUAGGUUUGAGGUUCUGUGGGUUAGAACUCGUGAAACGUGACCAAAGAAGAUGGCGACUAUGACAAGUUUCUGAGACUGCGAGAGUGUCUUUUUGAAUAAUUGUACUUCAGAGUAAUUUAUUGAGUCGUUCCCUUUUGGGGGUUUUCUAAAUUUGUUUUCUAAGUGUAUUCUAGCUGGGUUAUGCCCCAAUUACCUUACAACCAUUACAGACAUUGGCACAGAGUUCAGUGGAUUCUGUGGCUAGUGUUUGUCCAUUAUUUAAUUAUCUGAGUUUAGUAGUAAAAUAGGCCCGAAGUUCUGACAAACCGUAUGUGGCUUACCCGGCUAGUGAUAAGGAUAAUAUGUGCUAGCAGAAGUUCUUUAGGGACUGAAUGUUCAGUAAUAUAAAAAUUUUAAAACGAUACCAAAUAUGAAAGAAUAAAAGAUAAUGUUUUGGAGUAAAGGCCUGACAGACCGCAUGGACCAGGAGAUUUGUCAGGUUUCAGCCUUCGUAGAAACUUCCUCUAAUGUUAUUGGCUGUCAAGCUUUUCAACUGAGAUUCUGGAAUAGUAGGAAAAUUAGGCUUUUUAAAAAAACGAAUACAUUUCUAUCAAUUUAGGGUUACACUGGGAGGUUUCCUAAUUUAGAUUGUAAAGUUUGGUAUAAAAAUUAGCAAACUCUUCCCUGAGAAGAUGCUAUAAAUGGAACCGUAGCAUGUGCUCUCUGUUUGCGUGCUGGUGAUUUACCAUGUUUUAUUAGAAUAUGAUAGUUUUAAUGUGCGGAAAGCUAACCCUGUCUGUUGAAGCUGUUAGAAAGGUGUUAUUCUGAUUGGCCGAUGUGGUGUUAGGGGACAUUUUAUGUUGUAUCAAUCAAAUGUUAACAUCCGAUUCCAAUUGAGAGAUUUUCUGGGAGUUAAUUCUUUUGAGAAACGAGGGAUGUUUUAUAAAUUCUCCACGAAUAAUGCCUUUUGAGCCAUCCAUAAUGUAGCACUUGUGCUGUUCUAUCCAUUUAUAAUAGCAUUAUUGAUUCUCCGUGGAUUUGUAUUAUAAAAGUGGGUUAUCUCUUAAGGAGGACAGCUGUGUGAGCUGACCAGUGAAUGGGGUUUGUAAUAUAUCUGUGCCGAGCACAGAUACAUUACAAACCCUUUGGUGUACCUAAUUGCAAAUACAUUUCCUUUGUGUACUGUGGUCUGUACUGUGGUUAAGAAAAGCUUGGGGUUCAGAAUAAAAUGUGAUUUAGCAAGUUGCCAGCAAGAAGCGUGUGUCUUGUCUCUUUCGGAGGUCUCGGAAUCCAUGCAAGUUUAAGUCCUGCUAAGGAACCAUGUUCAUGGAAGUGUAUUGCCAGUGCAACAAGCUAGUUAGUAUACUCUGUAACAGCCAGAAGAUACAAUCACAGUAUAUCCUGGGUUACCGGUGAGUCCGCUAGAAAAGGCAAACGUAACCUUCGGACAUGGUUGAGCAGUUAGUUGCAGUUACAGGUUAGGCAAAGAAAUCCAUGGACGAUAGCAGGCCUGAACUGGUACACCUUCAGUGCCAGAGACUUCAGGGCCAUAUCGUCAAAAGGUGUAAGACACAAGCAGAAAUGUACCCUUUAAUACUAUUAAUAGAUAGAAAUAUAAUGACCAUGUGAUAUUUAAGUUAUUUAUGACAAUGAAUGUGGAGGAUAUUUACCAACAAGCUACACAGUGCAACAGAGAAAAAACUAAAACUGGGAAGUAACCGUGAGAGAAAAGAAUUAUUAGAUGUAGAAUAACCCCACGGAUCUCUAAACAAUGAAAACAUAUAUUUUGUAUGAACCAGUUUGAUGCAAAAUAUGUGUAUAACAAUGUUACCUUCCAAAAGAUACAUUUCACUUUACAUUGUUCAAUUAUUGUUGUUAUUAUUAAUAUAUUCCGCAGCGCUGUACAGUGGGGAAACUUACAUCCAAACCUUUUUAAAUGGGCCGAGAGCUAAACCUAGCGGUGUGAAAGGGGGUGUGACCAGGGGCGGAGCUGUUCUGAGAAAUUGUAGGUGACCAACUAAAUAACAAUUUAUACUGCUAAAAUGUAAUUCAGAAGGAAAAGAGAGUAUCUUAUUUACACAGACUGAUUUCUAAGCAGAUUUAUUGUAUUUUUAAGGGACAUGCAUCACUUUGAGACAAAAAGCUUUAACUAUGAAUGAGACAGUUGCCUCAUUCCGGCUGCAAUAAGUAAGUAAAUAUGCGUUUUCUUCAUUCAGACCUGAUUUAUCUUUCUUAUGAUUUGCACAUCCACUUCAAGGGGGUACACUCAUCUAACCAAUCAGUGCCCUAUCCCUAGGAAUGCUGGAAAGGUGCACUGGGCAUGACUGACAAUUUUAAACAUGUGCAGUUGGCAGAUCCCUUCACCUUGCAACAUCCUGACAGGGGGAGAACAUGAUUAUUUUCAGUGUGAUUCAUGCAGGGCAGGUUUUGGUGUUCCUAGUCCUCUAUCUGCACCCUUGUCCUAUAUUGAAGUCCUGACUUGAGUGUGGGAGGCCCUCUUAUUGGACAUGGAUUAUUAAGUCACCCUGGGCUCUGUCCAUUUCAGGGUCCAUUGAGUUCCUGGCAACUCACAGUCCCUCAACAACCCUACUGGAUCCUGGUUCCUCACACAUCCCAUGCCUCUAGUAUGUAUUCCUCUAUGUAUGAGUGUAUUCCAGCAUGUAUGAGUGUGAGCGUGUCUAUAUAUACAAAAACAUAUAUAAACAAAGAGACACUUCCACAUUCAAACUGCAAAAUGGGCAUAACAUGUCACCUGGGGACUUUUGUAACAGUUUAACAGGAGUUGGAUCCCAGUUGCAGGAGAUGGCAAAAGGAGGAGGCAGAAUCCAAAACACAGUACAGAUAAUUGGAAAUCCAAAGGCAGGGUCAGACGAGAAGCAGAAGUCAGGGCUGGCAGCGGAGUAAUGUAGUCUGUAAAGCAGGCAGAGGUCAGAGUCCAGGAAAUCAGUCAGUAGCGAAGCAGAGAUCCAGCCGAAAACACCAAACAGGCAAAAUGACCAGAUACUAGGUCUCAGGCAGGGCUGGCUUUUACAGCCUGCCAAUUAGAUGCAGCUGACCCUAAUUGGAAAGGGGGUCAGGAAGCAGAUAAAUGCAAACAGAAACUGAUUCCACCCCCUGGUGGAUGUCAUGGCAGAGAACCUGACUGGGAUGCUGGAUCUGUGAGUUCAAACCCAGCCAGGUCUCUUAAAGGGGUGGCCACACCUUGCUGUCUGCAGGGUUUGGGCUGUGCUGUGUUACACAAAGAGAUUUAAAAAAAUAAAGAAUUAACACAGGUUGAGGAAAUUAUAAACUCAAAAACAUCCCAUAGAAUAUAGAUCCAUAUAUACAAUAAACAUUCACAGAACAUCUUAAUAGAUCAUAAUAAUUGCUGUCCUUCCACGUGAUUUUAAAAUACAGUGUAGGCACUGUAACUGCUUCAUCCUAUUGAAGGGGAUUUAUUUAGUGAUAAAAAAUGGUUUAACAGCGAAUGGAGGGACUGUCCCAGAGAACUCCAGGCACUAUACCCAAUUCAAUUAGAUUAUCUGGUUAUAGUGUCCACAGGGUCUAUUUAAAUAAUCGCACUGCCCAUUUUGCCUGCUAGGGGACCUUCUGAGUACAAGUAGCCACACUAGGACUACAACUACUUUCCGGGUUUCAAAUGCCAACAUGUCUGCAUCAGGGGCGCCACUAGAUGGCGGUAAAGGGCUGCCAGCUCAGUCCACC